rnacentral:rRNA from 1 species
GACGAACGCUGGCGGCGUGCUCAACACAUGCAAGUCGAACGGAAAGGCCCUGCUUUUGUGGGGUGCUCGAGUGGCGAACGGGUGAGUAACACGUGAGUAACCUGCCCUUGACUUUGGGAUAACUUCAGGAAACUGGGGCUAAUACCGGAUAGGAGCUCCCGCUGCAUGGUGGGGGUUGGAAAGUUUCGGCGUUUGGAGAUGGACUCGCGGCUUAUCAGCUUGUUGGUGGGGUAGUGGCUUACCAAGGCUUCGACGGGUAGCCGGCCUGAGAGGGUGACCGGCCACCUUGGGACUGAGAUACGGCCCAGACUCCAACGGGGCGCAGCAGGGGGGAAUAUUACACAAUGAGCGGGAGCCUGAUGAAGAAACGCCGCGUGCGGGAUGACGGCCUUCGGGUUGUGAACCGCUUUCGCCUGUGACGAAGCGUGAGUGACGGUAAUGGGUAAAGAAGCACCGGCUAACUACGUG